rnacentral:rRNA from 1 species
UGCGCAGGUGGGCUUGUAAGUCAGUGGUGAAAUACUGCCGCUUAACGGUAGAACUGCCAUUGAUACUGCAAGUCUUGAGUAUGGUUGAGGUAGGCGGAAUGUGUUGUGUAGCGGUGAAAUGCAUUGAUAUGACACAGAACUCCAAUUGCGAAGGCAGCUUACUAAGCCAUUACUGACGCUGAGGCACGAAAGCGUGGGGAGCGAACAGGAUUAGAUACCCUGGUAGUCC